UGACAUGGUACAGCCUCUUUAGAAGACAGU
rnacentral:piRNA from 1 species